GAUGAACGCUGGCGGCGUGCCUAAUACAUGCAGUCGAGCGAACGGACGAGAAGCUUGCUUCUCUAAUGUUAGCGGCGGACGGGUGAGUAACACGUUGAUAACCUACCUAUAAGACUGGGAUAACUUCGGGAAACCGUAGCUAAUACCGGAUAAUAUUUUGAACCGCAUGGUUCAAAAGUGAAAGACGGUCUUGCUGUCACUUAUAGAUGGAUCCGCGCUGCAUUAGCUAGUUGGUAAGGUAACGGCUUACCAAGGCAACGAUGCAUAGCCGACCUGAGAGGGUGAUCGGCCACACUGGAACUGAGACACGGUCCAGACUCCUACGAAAGGCAGCAGUAGGGAAUCUUCCGCAAUGGGCGAAAGCCUGACGGAGCAACGCCGCGUGAGUGAUGAAGGUCUUCGGAUCGUAAAACCCUGUUAUUAGGGAAGAACAUAUGUGUAAGUAACUGUGCACAUCUUGACGGUACCUAAUCAGAAAGCCACGGCUAACUACGUG
rnacentral:rRNA from 1 species